UACGUAGGGUGCAAGCGUUAAUCGGAAUUACUGGGCGUAAAGCGUGCGCAGGCGGUGAUGUAAGACAGUUGUGAAAUCCCCGGGCUCAACCUGGGAACUGCAUCUGUGACUGCAUCGCUGGAGUACGGCAGAGGGGGAUGGAAUUCCGCGUGUAGCAGUGAAAUGCGUAGAUAUGCGGAGGAACACCGAUGGCGAAGGCAAUCCCCUGGGCCUGCACUGACGCUCAUGCACGAAAGCGUGGGGAGCAAACAGG
rnacentral:rRNA from 1 species